GGAGAUCAUACACUGCUAUCCAGAUUUGGUGGACUACAGGAACGAGAAGGGGGAGUCGCCUCUUCAUGUCCUGGCCAACAAGCCGUCAGCUUUCAAAAGUGGAACCCGUUUCAGCCUACUGAGAGUAUAAUCUACCAUGGUAUAUCUGUGGAUCCACUCAAAGUCGAAUAUCCAAGUUACGAGAAGAAAGUCAAAAAUGAAGGCAUUGAUUAUGAAAAUAUCUUGCAUGAUGGAAAUUACAAAUUACCAGAUAAUUACCAAGCAUGCUACAACAUCUUCAAAAUUUUUACUUUGCUAAAGCUUGUCUUCACGAAUAUUGCUCCUUGGACCAGUGGUGAAGAUGAAAAGUCCAAGCACAUUACAGACGUUGAAAACAAAAUCUCAGCACCUUUGACCAAUGAUGAUGAUGAUGAUAGGCCCAGGGCAUAGUAUAGAUGUUGUAAUUGAAAUCUCAG